UCUUCCUUUCUGUGCGAGGGCUUUCUCUAGUUGUGGCAAGUGGGGGGCCACUCUUCAUCGCGGUGCACAGGCCUCUCACUGUCGCGGCCUCUCUUGUCGCGGAGCACAAGCUCCAGACGUGCAGGCUCAGUAGGUGUGGCUCACGGGCCUAGUUGCUCCGCGGCAUGUGGGAUCCUCCCAGACCAGGGCUUGAACCCGUGUCCGCUGCAUUGGCAGGCAGAUUCUCAACCACUGCACCACCAGGGAAGCCCUAAGAUUUAAUGUUUUAUUUAUUUUGGCUGCGUUGGGUUUUUGUUGCUGCGCACAGACUUUCUCUAGUUGUGGCGAGAAGGGACUACUCUUUUUUGCGGUGCUCAGGCUUCUCGUUGCAGGGGCUUCUCUUUGUUGUGGAGCACGGACUCUAGGAGCGUGGGCUUCAGUAGUUGUGGCAUGUGGGCUCAGUAGUUUUGGCGUACAGGCUUAGUUACUCCACAGCAUGUGGGAUCUUCCCGGACCAGGGAUAGAACCCAUGUCCCCUGCGUUGGCAGGCGGAUUCUUAUCCACUGUGCCACCAGGGAAGUCUGUCUUUCUGUUGUUGUGGGGGUUUUUGGUCGUGUUGGGUCUUAGUUGCAGCAGGCAGGCUCCUUAGUUGUGCCAUGCAUGUGGGAUCUAGUUCCCGGGCCAGGGAUCAAGCCUGGGCCCCCUUCAUUGGGAGUGUGGAGUCUUAACCAUUGCACCACCAGGGAAGUCCCUGUCCUUCCGUGUUCUUGACUAUUUAAUCUGACUUUAUUGCUAAACACGGGUCUUCACAAGCAGAGGAAAUGUGUCUGGUGUUCAAAGGUGUUUUUAUAAGCACCCAGCCCAAACCAGGGAGUGUAGGAGGUACUUAAAUAAAUGCUGGUUGGCAAAGCGCUGUCAUCCACAGAUCAGUCAACAGCCCAGUCAUUCCUUGUUCCCUGAGCCAUUCAGCCACAGGGCGUGAUAGGAAGAACUUGACUUCACAAGUCAGACAAACCCAGGUUUCACCAACCCUAGGUGCCCUCCUCGUGAUCUCAGGAACGAGGCAGCUUCCAUUCCUUACGCAUCUACCAUGUGAUGUGUCGGAUGCUCUGCAAACCACCUGUCUACGCGUCUCAUGGGACCAAGCGAGGACUGUCUUCCCCAUUUUACAGAUGAAAAAAGGGAAGUUUAAAAGAAGUUAGAACCCUCGUGCAAAAUCAACGGCUCAGGAGGCAGAAGGGUCAGAAUUCGAAUGCUGAGGAUUGCCCAUAGUCUAACCAUUGUACAAACCCACAAUCUGAGAAGGACGUUUCCCUGGGACACUGUCACAUAUGCUCAGAAUCUCUUUUGGUUAAAAAUGAACUCGGAA